AUCACUUUCAUACCUCCCUGUUGGACUUAGGCCGAGCUUAGUGCUCGGCCUUUUUU
rnacentral:ncRNA from 1 species